rnacentral:rRNA from 1 species
ACGAGCGCACCCUUAUCCCUAGUUGCCAGCACAUCAUGGUGGGAACUCUAGGGAGACUGCCGGUGACAAACCGGAGGAAGGUGGGGAUGACGUCAGGUCAUCAUGGCCCUUACGGCCAGGGCUACACACGUGCUACAAUGGCGCGCACAGAGGGCUGCAAACCCGCGAGGGGGAGCCAAUCUCACAAAACGCGUCGUAGUCCGGAUCGGAGUCUGCAACUCGACUCCGUGAAGUCGGAAUCGCUAGUAAUCGUGAAUCAGAAUGUCACGGUGAAUACGUUCCCGGGCCUUGUACACACCGCCCGUCACACCAUGGGAGUGGAUUGCACCAGAAGUGGUUAGUCUAACCUUCGGGAGGACGAUCACCACGGUGUGGUUCAUGACUGGGGUGAAGUCGUAACAAGGUAGCCGUAGGGGAACCUGCGGCUGGAUCACCUCCUU